rnacentral:rRNA from 1 species
UACGUAGGGUGCAAGCGUUAAUCGGAAUUAUUGGGCGUAAAGAGCUCGUAGGCGGUCUGUCGCGUCUGCUGUGAAAACUCAGGGCUUAACCCUGAGCUUGCAGUGGGUACGGGCAGACUAGAGUGCGGUAGGGGAGACUGGAAUUCCUGGUGUAGCGGUGAAAUGCGCAGAUAUCAGGAGGAACACCGGUGGCGAAGGCGGGUCUCUGGGCCGUAACUGACGCUGAGGAGCGAAAGCAUGGGGAGCGAACAGG